GGCCAAGAAAUUGUCUAUGUUUCUAGAAC
rnacentral:piRNA from 1 species